GCCUGCCUGGCUCAGUCAGAAGAGCAUAUGACUUUUAAUCUUGGGGUCAUGAGUUUGAGCCCCAUGUCGGGAA
rnacentral:tRNA from 1 species